UGUGUUUUAUGGGCGUCUGGUGCUGCUGUUGUGGCUGUCUUGACAUCCUGCUUCUUGGUUCUCCGCUCGACUGAGGCACUGCGGAUAAAAACAUCUACUGGACUUGGGGAUAUUUGUUUCUUCCUGUCUGCCUGCAUGACAAGAAUUAAAACCAUUUGGAGCCUGUUGUUAAACAUACCUGAAAGACCUGAGUUUCUACUUUGUCCCACAAGCAUCACGUCAGAGGAGGAAACUGCUAGGGCUGAUCCCAGCAACAAGGACAACAUAAUACAUAGAAUUUGGUAUGCUGACCUAUGGAUAAGUUAAAUACUUUUUAUCUAACUCAUUUUAUUGAGCUAGGGGGAAGGAUGGGAAACGCAAUAUACAUGACUUUGAAUAUAGUAUCUCUUGGCUUUACAGAGAAUAGACAGAAAAAGAGAAUCUCUAGUGAGGCGUAGUUCUGUGAAUGACAACACCUUGAUGAUGUCAGAGGAAUGCAUAGACUGGUAGGAGAUGAUAGAAAGCAACAGUAGCUGAAACAUCAAAACCUGCAUGAUAUUGUUGCUGACUAUGUCCAUCCCUUUAUGACUUCAGUGUACCAAUCUUCUUAUGGCUAUUUCCGACAAGAUAAUAACGAAGUCACAAAGUUAUAAUAAUGUAAAACUGGUUUCUUGAACACAACAGCAACACUGCAGCUAAAAUGUGCUCCACACAGGGGCAGGAAUUCCAUUUUAUUGCUGGGAGGAACAAUAAACAGUUUUCUCAAGCAAUUUGGGGGGUGCCAAAGUUACAGAGAAAUGUAAUGUUGUAAAAUGUAUAGAUGGAACCUUUAUUAGUUUUGUAUACAAUAUAGUAAAUAAUUGGCAAUUGCAGUAGUUGAAGUGACAUGGCUGAAUGUAUUUAACAAUCAUAUUAAUAGUAAUAUUAAAUAUUAGAAUUCUCUAAUUAAAAAACUGCAAGUCACCAAAGGGUAAUUAUUACCAUCUGAAUCAUAAUUGGCAUUUCUUUCUUUCUUUCUUUCUUGAAAACCUAUCACUUGAAGGGUUAAAUAUUUUAUAUAUAUAUAUAUAUAUAUGGGGUCUAAUUAAUUUUUUAGGAAGUGGAAGUAAAUAAAUUGUGUUAUGUGUUCUGUUUUAAGAAGGUACUUACAGGAGGUCAGUUAUUUGAGCUUUGUAGACACAGCUCCUCUGCUCCUCAGAUACGACAGCUGUGUCUGUUUGUUGGUACAAUGGAGGGGAAAGUAUAAAUGUAUCGUUUUGCCUAGAUGAAUGAUGGAUUUAUUUUUUUUAACCAAUACACUUUUUAUCCAAAACACACUUGCUUAUUUGGACCCUCCUCUGGGAACCACAACAACAGAGCACCUUUAAGCCUUGAUAGAGUGGCAUCAUGGAUGUGUAGCUGAAAAAUCUGUGGCAAACGUAGACCAAAAUCUCUGAGGAAUGUUUCCUGCACCUUUUUGAAUCUAUGCAUUGAAGAAUUAAGGAGGUUCUGAAGCCAAAAGGGGGUCCAACCCAAUAUUAGCAGAGUGUACUGAAUAAAGGAGGUGUGUAAGUUG